GUUUAAUUUGUACACAAGAUUGGUUGCAUGCUUCGCCAUUGCCACUUCAAAUGGAAAAAAACUUUGCAGAUUUGGAGGACAUAGAAAGAGCUGCUGGAAAGUGAUUUGGUCUGCUGGAAAUCCCCUGUUACUGCUGCUGUUGCGCUGCUGCUGCCACUGCACUGUUGUGGUGCUUUUGUUUGUCAUCCUUAAGUUGUGCUGCUGCCAACAUGCCUUUGUUUGUUUAUUUGUUUUUGUCUAAAACUACUUUAUAUCUGUUUGCUUAGAAUUUGUGGAAAAGGGAAAUGUAAUGUCUACUACUAUUGAAUUUGAUUGUUGUUAUCUACUAUUGUUGAUGUGUGUUUGCUUGGAA